rnacentral:lncRNA from 1 species
CGAGGGAAGACCAUGGGAAGAACACAUGGAGAAGACAGACAUCGACAGACAUCGACAAACCCAGGAGAGAGGUUUCAGCAGAAACCAACCUGGCUAACACCUUUGAUCUUAGUCUUCCAUCCUCCAGAACUAACUCAGUCUAGUAUCCCAAGUGAAUUCAACCUCUCUGUCUACAAAGCCCCCGGGGUUUUCAUAUUAUUGCUGGAGUUUACCCAAAGAAUGCCGGUCUUCAUUGUGUGGCUGAUAUCUGUGAAUGGACUCCAAGCUUUCUGGGUCUGCUCUCCAUUGGUCCUGCAGACUCCCGGGUGUGCCACCUCCACUGUGCACCUCCAUUGCCACCACAAUUGUCACUGCUAAGCACCCAUGCUGCUGGAAAAACUUCUCACAAAGCAGAGUUUGAGGAACUUCACAGUUUCUCUGGCAAAGGACUUUAGGUCCCUUUGGGGAGGAUCGGGGAUAUUCAACAGAUACCCGUACAAGCGUGUUGCAGAGUUCUUACUCAAAAGGGUCUGACCCUCCUUUCAAUCAACAGGCUGUUUCUGUGAACUGACUUAGAUCUUGGAACUGGUGAGCAACAUGACUUUCUAUUUGAGUGGUUGAUGUCAGCCUUCUUUUUGCUAGCACUAUUUUUUCAAUCACCUGGAGACUGUAAAAGACCUACUAACAUCUGCAUAUCAUCCUAGAACUAUAUCUGUGUAGGUAGGAGCUGGCAUUGGGAGAACAAUUGCCACAGAGUUAAAAACAGAAGGAAGACAUGGUAGGUGACUUUAAGGAGUGUUCAGUCAUGUGUAUAUAUUAUAUACAUGUAUAUAAAUACACUGUGAUCGAUGGUAUCAUAAAGACAACCACAAAAGGUUUGGAGAACACAGAGGAGGGAAUAGAGAAUUGCCUACAGGCGUUGGGGAAUGCUUCAGAGGUGCUGACACUGAAGUUGGUCUUGACAGCUGAAUAUGUUAUUGACAGGCAAAGGAAAUUACAUGUGUCAGCACAUAGAUACGAAAGAAUUUGGUGCAUUUGGAGAAAAAGUAAAAUUUUAAGGAUGCUGUUACCUGGCAUCAUAUUUUUUGUCCUUUUCCUCUAUUUCCAUUACCCACUGCCAAUCUGGUUAAGCAACUGCUUAGAUUUGAAGCUCCUUAUGGGCAGAUGUGCCUUUGAUUUAUCUCCCCCUCCCUUACCUGCUGUCUCUCAGCCCCAGGGGAGGGCUGGCCAGGCCCAGACUGAAUCAACACUACUGAUGGGCAGAGAUGACUUAUUGAAUAGACAGCCCUCUUACCUCCAGAAGUAAUUCCUUUUCACCAAGCUCUGGAGGAACAAAGUGCACUGAGCAGCAUGUUAAUCUGCCUCUCUAUUCUGUGCAACCUGCUCAUUCUGUGUGCACCUGGGAUAUCUCAACAGCCAUCCCCAUGCACCAGGCUGAUGAUCAGCCCUUUCUCUGUCUCCAUGAGAUCCAGGACUGCUGCAGAGGCCCAACACCUGCCUGCCCACCACAGAAAUGGAAACAGGAAAAAGAAAAAUGCUCAGCUGUUUGGGGCUACAAACUUCAAAGCAAGGUGGGAGAAAACCAGCAAAAAUCUUCUGAAAAUCAUCCUUGUGUUUAUUCAACAUGUAUUUAUGGAGCUUCUGUGAUGUCUCAGGCACAGUUCAAAGCUGAGAGAGGGCAGUAAGCAAAGCAUUUCAGACAAGCUGCCUUCAAGGAGCUGUAUUCUUCGAAGCCAAGGAAGACAAUGAACAGACGGCAGAGUGAAAUCUGAGGUGCCAGUGGGAAAAGAGGGCAGGUGGCGAGGGCAGGAGUGAGGAGAGCUUGCUCCUCUAAAUCAGGAAGACCUCACCGAAAAGUAAACAUUUGACCAGAG